UUGGAACCUUUUAGAAUCCAAUACGUGAAUCUCUUAUGACAUCAAGCCCCUUACAGUUCUACUCUUUUAAAAGAGGGGAGUGUUCGGGUAAGGCAAUAGAUGUAAGGGAAGAGGAUCGUAUUGGAGAGGUCAGCAUCAGUUACAGAGUAAAGAUUAAGGGUGCAAAAGGUAGGUCCCUCGUGGACUGCUUUAUAGAUGCAUCAUUUAUUUACUUUACUUUGUGACUGACGUGUACUUUUUUUGCAUGGAAUUUGGGCCACACUCUUUAGAGUACUCGAAUUCUGUGAUGCUGGCUUAAACGGUUUCAACCGACCCGUCUUGAAACACGGACCAAGGAGUCUAACAUAUGUGCAAGUAUGCGGGUGGCAAACCUGUAUGCGUAAUGAAAGUAAGAGUAGGGAAAAGGGUAGCAUUUUCAACGAUGUUAUGCUUUGCACCUACGACCGACCACGAUCUCAGAGAGAGGUUUGAGUUGGAGCAUAUCUGUUAGGACCCGAAAGAUGGUGAACUAUGCCUGGGUAGAAUGAAGUCAGGGGAAACCCUGAUGGAGGUUCGUAGCGAUACUGACGUGCAAAUCGUUCGUCAAACUUGGGUAUAGGGGCGAAAGACUAAUCGAACC
rnacentral:rRNA from 1 species